ensembl:lncRNA
UGUGUGUGUGUGUGUGUGUGUGUGUGUGUGUGUGUGUGUGUAUGUGUGUGGGCGCGCACGUCAUUUAAACAGUUUGAAUCUGACACAGAUUCAUGAUUUCCAUACACUUGGCUCAUAUGGAUGCGUCGGAAGGUAAACAGCAUCGCGGCUGAUGCAAUGUCAUGGUAACACCACCCAAGUCCUAUCGAGGAGGAGCAAAGCACUCUGGGUAAAGACGUGUCUGGGUCCUUGUCUAGAGCGGGGCUGUCAUGGAGCCGAGAUCCCGGCAGUAGAAUGAUGGAUGCUGUGCUGUGAGACCGGUUGAGUGGCUCUUUGUGAGACUCCAUGUGACUGGUUACAUUUACAUUCGUUCACGUAGCAGACGUUCUCUGUAGGAACAGAUCUGUUAGUCACCGUGAAAUCCCACCAGUGUGGCUGACUGGAUGGCUAUGAGCGUCUGGACGCUAGCCUGUGUAAUGUCCAUCUCUGAGGUUAGGGGCCGUGUUCGGGUGGAAAGGCUCUGAGCCGAGGUUAGGGACCGUGUUCGGGUGGAAAGGCUCUGAGGUUAGGGACCGUGUUCGGGUGGAAAGAUUUGGGUGCUGUCAGGCACUCCAAAAUGGGCUUCCCCAAAAGACGAAGGCGUUUUCAGAAAGCCCUAGAGACUCCUCAGAAAGUGUGAUUAGAUGGUCCAGUUAAAGGAGAGGUGAGAGGAGUCUGAGACGGACAUGGUCGUUUGUUUCAGUGUUACUUGUUUGUGUAGGUGAAAACUGAUUGCAGGGUUCUGUCGGAGCACGUGGAGGAACCAACUAGUCAUGCAGAACUUCACUGCUGCAAUUUUUUUUCCCAUCAUGUGGAAGGAAAAUGUAGUCUUUGGUUGAGAUUUUUUUCUUUAUAUGUGGAAGGGAUGGGAAUGUUUACAUGGGCAGGGAGUGUGUUUGCUCUGUGUGUGUGUGUGUGUGAGUGUGUUUGCACGGUGUGUGUGUGUGAGUGUGUUUGCUCUGUGUGUGUGUGAGUGUGCUUGUCCGCUUGUGUGGGCAUGCUUGUGUGUGUGUGAGUGUGUGUGUGUGUGUGUGAUGUUUAUGUUUCUCUGUCUUUGUGGAUGUGGACAUGCAUUUGUGUAUUUGAUGUCUGUGUGUGCUGUUUUUGUGCUAGGCACGUGUGUAUGUUUACUCUGUGUGUGUGUGUGUGUGUGUGUGUGUGUGUGUGCGCGCGCGCGCGUGGGGACACGUGUAUAUUUACUGUGCGCCUGUGUGUGUGUGACUUGGCCGCAGCUCUUGACGGACAGGUUAAAGCUUUGCAGGCCACCUUUAGGCCGGACGGGAGCCUCUGUUGCCAUGGUGAGCACGGAAUCCAAACUGCAGCUCUCCCGGCUCUCCCAGCCCAGCUCCCCGCU